GCCUGCUGCACUGGUGCCUGGGGGCCUGCAGCAGUGGUGGGAGAAGCUUCCCUGUCUGCUUCCCUGUAAUCCAGAGGGUGCUGAAUGUGCUGGUGACCUCCUGCCUCCUGUGUUCCUAAAAGUCCCGUCCUGACAGUUUUACUCCAUUGAUUUGUGCAAGCUCAUUUUCAAGGUCUGAUUUACAUCCUGUUUGCUGCUUAAGUGCUGAAGGCAGUUGCUGAAAUCCUGGCAGCGACGGAUGCAACACCAAGUGUUGUGGUGAGAUCUCCAGCUGGGAACAAUCCUUAAUCCAUCUGAUAUUCCGCAAGUUGGAGUCCCGGUCCUCAUGGAAAUGAAAGGCAUAAAGCAAAAGAUGAAAAUCUCACCCUGAAGUACCGGCAAACUGCUCUAAAUUGGCUUAGGAAUCAUAUUUGACUCUAAGAAAUCAGCCAAGCCACGCGCACGUAAUUCUGGAAGAUAUAAAUGGCGACGUGAUAAUGAGCGGACACCUAUUUUAAGCAUGAUCUAUGUUUUUAUGAAAAUUCAUUACAAUAAGCCUUACGAUACCGAGCUCUUCAAUGAAUUUUUCAUGUCUGCAUACCAAGAUAUAUAUAAAGUGAUCGUAAUCGUACACCUUUGGGGCGAUGCUGAGCACCAGCUGUUUCGCUGAUGAUUUAUAGGUUGCCAUGUUCAAGGUUAAUAAUUGGGAGAAACACGUUACAGUAUGCAAUGUAUUUAUGUCAGGUUAGAAGUUCAGCGAUGAGGAUGUGAUGUGAGGAUGAUAGGCACUGUUUUAAUUAGCUACGUCCCCUCUUGCUGGAAAACCAAAAGCAGUUCCCCUUUCCAAAGGGAAAACCUGCGUCGUUUUGUAUUUUCAACUCAGUUGAAACUGAAAAAG